GAUGAACGCUAGCUGGAGGCUUAAUACAUGCAAGUCGAGCGGGAUUGGUAGCAAUACCAUGAGAGCGGCGCACGGGUGAGUAACGCGUACACGACCUACCUCUGACAGGGGGAUAGCCCUGGGAAACUGGGAUUAAUACCGCAUAUUAUUCUGAUUAAUAAAGGAUUGGAAUGAAAGUUCAGGCGGUCAGAGAUGGGUGUGCGUCUGAUUAGCUAGUUGGUAGGGUAACGGCCUACCAAGGCGAUGAUCAGUAGGGGGCGUGAGAGCGUGGUCCCCCACACGGGUACUGAGACACGGACCCGACUCCUACGGGAGGCAGCAGUAAGGAAUAUUGGACAAUGGCCGAAAGGCUGAUCCAGCCAUCCAGCGUGCAGGAAGAAGGCCCUAUGGGUUGUAAACUGCUUUUAUCAGGGAAUAAACCUCUGGAUUCACUCCGGAGCUGAAGGUACCUGAAGAAUAAGCACCGGCUAACUCCGUGCCAGCAGCCGCGGUAAAA
rnacentral:rRNA from 1 species